rnacentral:rRNA from 1 species
AUUGAACGCUGGCGGCAGGCUUAACACAUGCAAGUCGAGCGAGCGGCGGACGGGUGAGUAAUGUCUGGGAAACUGCCUGAUGGAGGGGGAUAACUACUGGAAACGGUAGCUAAUACCGCAUACCAUCAGAUGUGCCCAGAUGGGAUUAGCUCGUAGGUGGGGUAAUGGCUCACCUAGGCGACGAUCCCUAGCGGGCGUGAGAUGAUGACGAGCAACACGGGACCUGAGACACGGUCCAGACACCUACGGGAGGAGGCAGAGGGGAAUAUUGCAAAAGGGGCGCAAGCCUGAUGAUGCCAGGCCGAGUGUGUGAUGAAGGCUUUCGGUUUGUAAAGCACUUUCAGCGAGGAGGCGUUACUGGCAGAGGAAGCACCGGCUAACUCCGUGCCAGCAGCCGCGGUAAUUC